rnacentral:rRNA from 1 species
GAUGAACGCUGGCGGCGUGCCUAAUACAUGCAAGUCGAGCGAACGGACGAGAAGCUUGCUUCUCUGAUGCUAGCGGCGGACGGGUGAGUAACACGUGGAUAACCUACCUAUAAGACUGGGAUAACUUCGGGAAACCGUAGCUAAUACCGGAUAAUAUUUUGAACCGCAUGGUUCAAAAGUGAAAGACGGUCUUGCUGUCACUUAUAGAUGGAUCCGCGCUGCAUUAGCUAGUUGGUAAGGUAACGGCUUACCAAGGCAACGAUGCAUAGCCGACCUGAGAGGGUGAUCGGCCACACUGGAACUGAGCCACGGUCCAGACUCCUACGGGAGGCAGCAGUAGGGAAUCUUCCGCAAUGGGCGAAAGCCUGACGGAGCAACGCCGCGUGAGUGAUGAAGGUCUUCGGAUCGGAAAACUCUGUUAUUAGGGAAGAACAUAUGUGUAAGUAACUGUGCACAUCUUGACGGUACCUAAUCAGAAAGCCACGGCUAACUACGUG